UGGGGAAUAUUGGACAAUGGGCGAAAGCCUGAUCCAGCCAUGCCGCGUGUGUGAAGAAGGUCUUCGGAUUGUAAAGCACUUUAAGUUGGGAGGAAGGGCAUUAACCUAAUACGUUAGUGUUUUGACGUUACCGACAGAAUAAGCACCGGCUAACUCUGUGCCAGCAGCCGCGGUAAUACAGAGGGUGCAAGCGUUAAUCGGAAUUACUGGGCGUAAAGCGCGCGUAGGUGGUUUGUUAAGUUGGAUGUGAAAUCCCCGGGCUCAAACUGGGAACUGCAUUCAAAACUGACUGACUAGAGUAUGGUAGAGGGUGGUGGAAUUUCCUGUGUAGCGUUGAAAUGCGUGGAUAUAGGAAGGAACACCAGGGGCGAAGGCGACCACCUGGACUAAUACUGACACUGAGGUGCGAAAGCGUGGGGAGCAAACA
rnacentral:rRNA from 1 species